UCUUUACAAACAAUUCCAGAUUCUUUCAUUCUUUUGAAUUUGCUUCUAAAUUGUUAUUCAUUCAUUCAUAAUCAUAUUGUAUAAAUAAUCAUUCAUAAAUUUAUACAUUCUUUUGUAUAUUCUUCGGUACUUAUUACGGGUCCUCAGAUAUCAAUUACAUGAAUGACACUGCUACAGACUCAGAUUUUCCUCUUGAGUGUGGCAUGUGUUUAGACGGAUCUCAUGGCUUUAGAAAUGACAUAGAUCGUAGCUUGUCUCCGGACUUAUUGAGGAAGGUUGAGCAGGAGGAUACACGGAUCAUACUUCACAAGGAACCAUUAGAAAUUGUGAGCUUGGUGAAGAUUAGAACUGACCUGACUGCAAAGACGAAGCAAGACCUUGUUGAGUUACCUCUAGAGUUCAAAGAUGUCUUUGUAUGAUCAUACCAGGGUAUGCCCCAAUUCCUAUAAUGAAACCUGCACAACAGCACGAUGUCAGAAAUUUACAGUGCGAACGAUGUAAUUCUUUGCCGGGGCAAUGCCUCUCUCGUUGAAUCAGCAUAGCUCCGCCCAUUUGAAGUCGAGUUUCCAUCCCUUCAAGAUGUUGUUGGAUUUUAUCCUGAGUAAAAAGGAAGAUCCCAAGUUUUCUGUCGUAGUUGCGUCCCAAAAGGGCUCUAUGAAAGAAAUCUGGUACCCAAGAAGGUUUUUCACAUACAAGAUGAAAGUGGAAGAUCUUAUGUGGAAAACUUUAGAAUAGCAUUGAUUCUGAUCGAAAAGCAUGACCAGGACUUACCUGAUCCCAUGAGCUCAGACAAAAAAAUGAAGAAGAAAAAAAUCAAAAAAAAAUCAAAGUCAAAAAUAGGAAAAAAAGAAGAAGCAAAGAAAAAUAAAGAGAAAAAAGAGAGGUCAAGGCGAAAACCCGCAAAGGGCGCUUUGACCAAAGGUGGAUCUGAGUUGAAAACCCGAAAAGGGUGACUCAAAUUUUGAGCAAAAUGGGGCAUGGACAUCACCAUUACCGAAGACUUCUAAUGGCCAUUGCUUUAUUUUUUGAGAGGCUACUUCAUGGAUCAAGGUCAUCCUAUACCGGUACAUAAUUUCAGAGAGGAUGGUUUUGGAAAAUGCAUUGAACUUAAAUGAUAGCACGAUAACUGAGGUCUAAAAUCAAUUCAGAAGCAGACACCACGUUUUGUGACUGAAUUACCUAGAGGUAAACGAGGACUGGCAUGAGAAAUUACCAUUUGCCCUUAUUGCUUGUCGAACAUCUGCACUAGGGCAACACCUCUCUUUUUGGUUUACAGGAUUGAGGUAGUUUUACCUAUUGAAAUCCCCUCAUUGCUUGUUGGAGGGAUCCAAUCGCGAUGUGAUCUGUUGGCCCUAUAAAAAGGGUUAAAAGCUAUUCAUCGGGGUAGAAUGUACCAGAAAUAAAUGAUAUAAGCCCAUAAUAAACAGGCUCGUCUCAGAGAAUUCCACGAGAGGGCUGGAUGUUGAAAAAGAUUCUUCCUUAACGAACGGAUUCUAAAAGGAAAUGAAUGCCAAACCGGGAAUGUCCCUAUGUUGUAAAGAAGACCAUUUUCAGAGGAGCACUGAUCCUGAGUGAGAUUGCUAAUCCUAUAAACUUGGAUCCAGUUAAGAAACACUUUGUUUAAAGAAGAAUGAAGGACCAAGGUGAAAACCUGCAGAGGGCACUUUCAGUCAAGAAAAAAAACAAAAAAGAGAUGAAAAAACAAAAAUGAAAAAUGAAAAAUGAAAUAGUAAAAAUGGAGAGGCUAAGGGGAAAACCCGCAAAGGGCACCUUAGGCCAAAGGGGAUUUGAGUUGAAAACCCGAAAAGGGCGACUCAAAUAUUGAUCAGAAAGGGGUGAAGUGAUCAAAGCAACUCAAAUCUUGAUCAGAUUGAGGCAUGUGGUGAUCUUGUUAUGCCUGAAUCAACAGGAAGGGAUAGGCGACAUCUCGGGGCAUCGACAGAGCACUGUAGAUCUCCUAAACACAUGUCCAACUCAAAAUGGUCUUCAAAAAGUUUGUACAGAGAAGUUCAAGCUGCGAUAUCUGGGGCACCCAAUUCUCAUAUUAUUUGUUGUUCUUGGAAUACUUUUUUUCCUUUUCCAAAUAUACAUUCCCAAUUAAUUUCUUUGUCAUCCUUCUUUACUAUUUUCGAUAAUUUGUUCUUUCGAGCUAUGCUCAGAACCAACUUUAUUCUUAUCUAUUGUUAUGACCUUUUUGCAAACAUGUUGCAUUGCAAUAAUGAUUAAUGGACUAAUAAAACUUGCACAAAGGAAGUUUUGCAUAUUACUCUGAAAAGUUUCUAAAUAAUAUAGGAGUCUGAAACAGGACUAUUGUUUAGAACACACCAAUUUUAAAGGUUGGAAAUCUAAGAAGGAAGAGUCUGAAUUUAGACUUUCUCUUUGAAUUUCGUUGUCGAAUGCAUUGGUUGAACAAAAUGAUAAGAUGACAGGUUAAUGACAAAGCUUAAAUGAACAAGCAAGCAAUGAUCAUCAGGCAAUAGGAAGAGGUUACCUCGGAGAAGAGAGUCUUCAUUUGCGCAUAAGUCUCUGGUACGACACCUUGGGAAUGGUGUAAGGAACUAGAACGACUCAGAUCCUGUAUCCUUGAAUUGUGAUAAGGAAGGAUUGAGGAAAGGCCACAUAUUUCUACGAUUGGAUUAUAGUGGGAGAAUGAUGGUACAAAUUUUGUGUCCUAGUGGAUUUCACAGUGGGGGCAAUCUGACUAAAGUGGUGCUUUGAAGAAGUCGGUCAAGUGAGAAGAAGUUGUAGCACGUCAGUCACAAAGCCUUAAUAAACUUCGAGUAAUGACAACCUCGACGGGAUCGUUCUCGGAAAAAUAAAAUUCUGCAUUCAGGCAAACACCAUUCACACAUGUCUAGUUAGGAGCAUUUGAUUCAUUUUGAUCAUUCCAUCCUAAUCUUUAGCAUAAUUAGGUUCAUUAUACAGGUCAUGUUCCCCAGAGAACAGAUCAAUGAAGUUACCCACACCCCUGAAGUUGCAGUGGGAUGGAUUGAAGUCAUCAUAUUAGAUUUUAUCUCCCUAAGUAGUAGUGGAGCAGAUCGAAGACGGCGAAUCUUAUCUUCCUAAGCAGUAGUGAAGCAGAUUUAAACCACCAGUCCUAUCUCCCUAAGCAGUAGUGGAGCAGGUCGAAGAUGGUAGAUCUUAUCUCCUUAAGCAGUAGUGGAGCAGGUCAAAGAUGGUAGAUUUUAUCUCCCUAAGCNNNN
rnacentral:lncRNA from 1 species